GACGUAGGGGGCCAGCGUUGCUCGGAAUUACUGGGUGUAAAGGGUUCGUAGGCGGUGUGGCAAGUCGGGAGUGAAAUCUCUGGGCUCAACCCAGAGUCUGCUUCCGAAACUGCUGUGCUUGAGUGUGGGAGAGGCGCGUGGAAUUGCAGGUGUAGCGGUGAAAUGCGUAGAUAUCUGCAGGAACACCCGUGGCGAAAGCGGCGCGCUGGACCACUACUGACGCUGAGGAACGAAAGCUAGGGGAACAAACAGG
rnacentral:rRNA from 1 species